rnacentral:rRNA from 1 species
AUUGAACGCUGGCGGCAGGCCUAACACAUGCAAGUCGAACGAGUGGCGGACGGGUGAGUAAUGUCUGGGAAACUGCCCGAUGGAGGGGGAUAACUACUGGAAACGGUAGCUAAUACCGCAUACCAUCGGAUGUGCCCAGAUGGGAUUAGCUAGUAGGUGGGGUAAAGGCUCACCUAGGCGACGAUCCCUAGCUGGUCUGAGAGGAGGACCAGCCCCACUGGAACUGAGACACGGUCCAGACUCCUACGUGAGGCAGCAUUGGGGAAUAUUGCCCAAUGGGCGCAAUCCUGAUGCAGCCAUGCCGCGUGUAUGAAGAAGUCCUUCGGGUUGUAAAUUACUUUCAGCGAGGAGGCGUUACUCGCAGAAGAAGCACCGGCUAACUCCGUGCCAGCAGCCGCGGUAAUUC